CUACGGGUCGCAGCAGUGAGGAAUUUUGCGCAAUGGGGGAAACCCUGACGCAGCAACGCCGCGUGAGCGAAGAAGGCCUUCGGGUCGUAAAGCUCUGUCAAGUGGGAAAAAAAUUCUUUGAUGAACAGUCAAAGGACUUGAUGGUACCACUGGAGGAAGCACCGGCUAACUCCGUGCCAGCAGCCGCGGUAAUACGGAGGGUGCAAGCGGUGUUCGGAAUUACUGGGCGUAAAGAGCGUGUAGGCGGUUUGACAAGUCAGAUGUGAAAGCCCCGGGCUCAACCCGGGAAGUGCAUUUGAAACUGUUUCACUAGAGUAUGGGAGAGGAGAUGGGAAUUCCUGGUGUAGAGGUGAGAUUCGUAGAUAUCAGGAGGAACACCCGUGGCGAAGGCGAUUCUCUGGACCAAUACUGACGCUGAGACGCGAAAGCGUGGGGAGCAAACAGGAUUAGAUACCCGAGUAGUC
rnacentral:rRNA from 1 species